rnacentral:rRNA from 1 species
AUUGAACGCUGGCGGCAUGCCUUACACAUGCAAGUCGAACGGUAACAGGUCUUCGGAUGCUGACGAGUGGCGAACGGGUGAGUAGUACAUCGGAACGUGCCCGAUCGUGGGGGAUAACGCAGCGAAAGCUGUGCUAAUACCGCAUACGAUCUACGGAUGAAAGCGGGGGAUCGCAAGACCUCGCGCGGACGGAGCGGCCGAUGGCAGAUUAGGUAGUUGGUGGGAUAAAAGCUUACCAAGCCGACGAUCUGUAGCUGGUCUGAGAGGACGACCAGCCACACUGGGACUGAGACACGGCCCAGACUCCUACGGGAGGCAGCAGUGGGGAAUUUUGGACAAUGGGCGAAAGCCUGAUCCAGCAAUGCCGCGUGCAGGAUGAAGGCCUCGGGUUGUAACUAGCUUUGUACGGUAACGAAACGGACGAG